UUUGAAGAUGCUGUCUUAGUUUCAUUCUAUGUUACUCUUUGCAGGAUUAUGAUGCUAAACUUUCAGACUUUGGCCUAGCAAGAACUGGACAUAUCCAAGAGCGUUCCUGCACCCUUGGUCUAUCACAAAAAGGCACAAGGUCUCAAGUGUAAGGUGGAUCAGGGGAUGACAAAUGCAGUAGGUGCAAACAAGUUGACUGGCGCAGGCUGUAGCAGGAUCGCGCCACCUAAAUACCAGGAGUUGCUGAUCCAGAAGGUGAAUACACAAGUGCCAAUUAAAAAGGAUGUCACUCUCUACCAGGACUAGCAACCAAGCAUCUCAAAAGCACGUGCGGCCGUCCAGCUCACCACUAUCAUCGACGGCUACAAACAUUAAAGGUGAGACCUCUCGCCUUCUCCUCUCCUUGCUCCCAUGGCGUUCAGUAAGUUCUGUUUAUCUGAAUGUCCUUGAAGCCAGUUGGCAAGCUCAUUGAUGUGGUAAAAAUGCAACACAUUUGAUAUCUAAAAUGGAACAUAUAUAGUUAGUUUGCAUGCUUGCUACAAUUGAAGUGACAACGAUACAUAGUAUAAUAUAGGUACCUUGGAAUUCUCUCCAUCAACCAUGCUCAUAAAUUGGUUUUGCUGGAAGAAAGAAAAACAUGCCAGCACAGACUGAUUCAGUAGAGAAUGUUGCCCAGUGGCGGAGCUACAGAAAAAAGUUGGGCGGGCCGGAGAAUUGGAGUGAAUGACUUUACAACAAGGCCAAUUUAUUAAACAACAACUUGCUCUUUUUUCUGCCAAACCAAUACAAUAUAACAACCAAAGUAUAGUAAGAUGGCAACAUCACUAAAUCAAUGACAAUACAAAAACAUUAGUAGCAACAUAUCAUUGUGGCAAUAUCUCUAACAAAUAAGAAAGAUUCCAAAAAGCAAAGGAAAUUACAAUAUAUCUUUAAUAUUAGUUUCUAAGUGAAUUGUGCCAUAAUGGCGUAAAUGGGGUAAUUAUUUUUUGAUGUGCUCAUAUGCAGAACGAGGUAAGAUUAAUUAUGUAUUAGUUGCAAUACUGUUUAUUCGGAAUGUGACAUAUGAAAAGAUAUUGUCCAUACCAUUCAUAUAAAUUGGCUCAUUUAUCUUAAUUUCUUGGAUACUGCUAUUUGGUAACAAUCUCACAAUUAGUCUGUUAGAGAACUA